CCUACGGGAGGCUGCAGUAGGGAAUCUUGCGCAAUGUGCGAAAGCCUGAUGGAGCAACGCCGCGUGAAGGAAGAAGGUUUUCGGGUUGUCAACCCCUUUUGUCAGGGAAGAAGCAAGUGAAGGUAACUGACGCAUAUGCCGCGGCUACCUACGUACAAGCAGCAGCGGAAAUACGUAGGUGCAACGCGUUAUUCGGCUUGAUUGGGUGGAAAGUGCGUGUAGGCGGGGAGGCAAGGCCGAUGUGACAGCCACGGGCUCAACCUGAGGCCUGCAUUUGAAACUGUUUGACUUGAGUGUUGGAGAGGCGAUCGGAAUUCCAGGUGUAGCGGUGAAAUGCGUAGAUAGACGGAGGAACACCAGUGGCGAAGGCGGAUUUCUGGACAGUAACUGACGCUGAGGCUCGAAAGCGUGGGGAGCAAACAGGAUUAGAUACCCUUGUAGUC
rnacentral:rRNA from 1 species